AAAAAUUAAAAAUAUUUUAAAAACAAUUAAAAUGUUCUUUAUCUAAUGUUUCAAUUUAUUUCCUCCAUUGCAGAAUAAGCUAAGUCUUAGUCAUUGUGUUCCCAGACAAAUGAAGUCUGGCUGCGUGUUCUUGGGGUCCAACAGUGAGAUGCAGACAGACUGAGAAAGAAGGGAGUUUAUUGCUACAGCUGGUUACAGGGAGAAGGAGUAACUCGCCAGACCAACUCAAAUCUGCAAGUUUUUUCCUUAGCUUAUACAUACAAUUCAAGCUUUAUGCCUGUGUGCAUCUAAUCUUAUCUAAUCUAAACUAGGUGUCUAGGGUAGGAAAGUUUCUUAGAUUUGUUCCUGGAUGAACAAGGGUGAGAAAGUCCAGGUGCGGUUUUAAUGGUUUGUUUUUGUGUUCCAGCCCUGGUACUCAGGAACCAGUUUCUCCAGUUCUUUAAUGUUUGACUUGUACAUUCAUCAUUACAGCAAAAGGUUUAUGGAGACUUGGCUGCUUGUGGCGAUCUGGCCUGCCACAGUUGCAUGUUAUUUUAUAAAUUGCAACAAAUUUGAACCAUGCGAACUUCAAUGUGCCAACAAGUCUCUCUGCAGGAUGUCUUCCAUUUGGAUGCUGAAACAUCUUGUGAACCCCUGCCCUGACGGUACUUAGGCUCAUGCAAAAGAAAAAUAAACGGAAUCUUGUAUGGGUUUUGCCAAGUUUGGAAAUGGGAUAACAAAUGAAAGCGAAGAGCUUCACCCAGCUUUCUCUUCCCUGGAAUACAAAUGUAUGAACUGCUACUGCAUGUGGAGUGUUGUGAGAAGAGGCACUGCUGCCAGCCUCCAUCUCCAUGGCAAUAGCAAGAGAUAAAAAGCAUCUCUAAGGUAACCAGAAAAUAAACAAAAUUAAGGUUUCUAGGUUAACAUCCCAUUAAUCAGAAGUUACUUCA
rnacentral:lncRNA from 1 species